rnacentral:rRNA from 1 species
UACGUAGGAACCAAGCGUUGUUCGGAUUUACUGGGCGUAAAGCGUGCGCAGGCGGUUGUGCAAGUCAGAUGUGAAAUCCCCGGGCUCAACCUGGGAACUGCAUUUGUGACUGCACAGCUUGAGUGCGGUAGAGGGGGAUGGAAUUCCGCGUGUAGCAGUGAAAUUCGUAGAUAUUAGGAAGAACACCGGUGGCGAAGGCGGCCCACUGGAUCGGUACUGACGCUGAGGUGCGAAAGCGUGGGGAGCAAACAGG